rnacentral:rRNA from 1 species
UACGAAGGGGGCUAGCGUUGCUCGGAAUCACUGGGCGUAAAGCGCACGUAGGCGGAUUGUUAAGUCAGGGGUGAAAUCCUGGAGCUCAACUCCAGAACUGCCUUUGAUACUGGCGAUCUUGAGUUCGGGAGAGGUGAGUGGAACUGCGAGUGUAGAGGUGAAAUUCGUAGAUAUUCGCAAGGACACCAGUGGCGAAGGCGGCUCACUGGCCCGAUACUGACGCUGAGGUGCGAAAGCGUGGGGAGCAAACAGG